rnacentral:rRNA from 1 species
GUCCACGCCGUAAACGAUGGGUACUAGGUGCCUGGGGGAGCGACCCCUUGGGUGCCGGCGCUAACGCAGGAAGUACCCCGCCUGGGGAGUACGGCCGCAAGGCUGAAACUCAAAGGAAUUGACGGGGGCCCGCACAAGCGGUGGAGCAUGUGGUUUAAUUCGACGCAACGCGAAGAACCUUACCUAGGCUUGACAUGCAUGGGAAACUCCUGAGAAACCAGGAGCCUCCUUCGGGAUCCAUGCACAGGUGCUGCAUGGCUGUCGU